rnacentral:rRNA from 1 species
AUUGAACGCUGGCGGUAGGCCUAACACAUGCAAGUCGAACGGCAGCACAGUAAUAGCUUGUUCUUACGGGUGGCGAGUGGCGGACGGGUGAGGAAUACAUCGGAAUCUAUGUUUGCGUGGGGGAGAACGUAGGGAAACUUACGCUAAUACCGCAUACGGCCUACGGGUGAAAGCAGCGGAUCUUCGGACCUUGCGCGAUUGAAUGAGCCGAUGUCUGGUUGGCGAGUUGGCGGGGUAAAGGCCCACCAAGGCGACGAUCCGUAGCUGGUCUGAGAGGAUGAUCAGCCACACUGGAACUGAGACACGGUCCAGACUCCUACGGGAGGCAGCAGUGGGGAAUAUUGGACAAUGGGCGAAAGCCUGAUCCAGCCAUACCGCGUGGGUGAAGAAGGCCUUCGGGUUGUAAAGCACUUUUGUUGGGAAAGAAAAGCAGCAGGUUAAUACCCCGCUGUUCUGACGGUACCCAAAGAAUAAGCACCGGCUAACUUCGUG